rnacentral:misc_RNA from 1 species
AACGCACAUUGCGCCCUCUGGUAUUCCGGAGGGCAUGCCUGUUCGAGCGUCAUUACAACCCUCAAGCUCUGCUUGGUAUUGGGCGUCACCAGCUCUGGUGUGCUCUAAAAUCAGUGGCGGUGCCGUCUGGCUCUAAGCGUAGUACAUCUCUCGCUAUAGAUGCCUGGUGGAUGCUUGCCAACAACCCCAAUUUUUUAAGGUUGACCUCGGAUCAGGUAGGGAUACCCGCUGAACUUAA